UUUCCCGGAGUCUUCAUUAGUUGACUUCCCUGUCCACUGCUUCCCCCAGCCGGCGGAGCUCACCCCCAAUAAAGGAAGGAAGGGGGUCUUUAUUUUUUUUUAAAGGCCCCAAAGAAUCCAGUGUUUACAAGACUAGAAAUACUACGGCCUUGUCCUGGCAGAAAGAAAGGCUGAAAUGGAGGACCGAAGCCUUCCUUAUAAGCUCACUGGGGCCUGAGCCAGCACCAACCCAGUAGAAAAAGCAACCAUGAAGCCAGAGAUGGAAGAGAGCUCCAGACAGAGAUAAAAAGGAACGAUGCGGAGUAAUGCAGAGAAAGGAGGAGGCAGCAGGUCUCAGAAUGAGCAAAUGUGGCAGAGAGCAAGACAGGCACUCACAGACAGAGGUUUAUACAUUUUUAUUUACAAUUUUUAAAAAAAAAUUUGGGGCUCGAUGAAGAAAAGGGAAAAUACAGAGGAGCGGAGAGGGGAGGGAAUUAUCGGAGUUCCAGCAUGAACGCCCCAGAAGGGGAGAAGACCGGAUAAAUGCGAGCGAGGAGCGAUGCCAGAGCCGAAUUCCGGCUCCAACUCCGGACCGCCGCUGCCCCACACGCUGUGGGCUGGCCCUCGAAGCCCCCCCUCGUGGCCGCCAGGGCUUCCUUGCUCUCCUUAUCUUCUCCAUCUUUAUGACGAGGCUUGUUAACAAGACCAGCGAUCUGGCCACUCGUGUCUAUCUCAGCCGCUCCCGCUUAGCGAAGCAGCGGCCGGCUCUGGGACUGGCGAGGCACUAAUAAAUUGAUUCCUUUGGACAGUAAAAUAUGUCAGUGUCUACAUGGAACCCAUAAACAAUAUCUGUGCGGGGUAUGAGUGCAUUGCCUUUCAAAGAAAUUUUCCAUAGGGUGUGUCAGGUAGUUUCGGAUUUUUAGCUACUAAAGAAAGACCUAAGUGGGAUUCAUUUUUUUCCGGGGCUGAAACAGUUAGCUCUGUGUUCUAAAAUGCUUUAAGCUAUGAUUCCAUCUCUGAAAGCGUUAGGAGUGGAUCUUGUUGAGAAAAACUUGGGUUCCAGAAUAAACUUUCCCUGCUGCCUGUAUAGACCCGGCCAGCAUGAAGGAUGCUAACCGGCUGCUAAAGAACUGGGUGGGCCAGAAUCCUCUCCUGGGUUGGCUGAGAGGGAGUGGAGCUGCUUUGGGGUUUGAGAGGGAUGUAGAAGACCAGAUCCAGCCCUUACUUCAUGCCAUCUUUCUCCACUGGAGAUUUUAAAAAUAAAUUAAAAAAAAAAUUUAAACAAACUGUGGCUUUCAGGAACUCUGAGUGCCCAGCACACAUCUGGAACUUGCCUUUACCCCAACCUGCCUCUUACACAACUUUGCCAAGUCACUGCACUUUCCUCUCCUCCCCUCACUUCUUAACUCACAACCCAGAAUAAUGCUCUAAUAUAUUUAUCUUAGGUCUAGAAGAACAAGUCCUGAGACACAGGGCAACUUAAUUAUAUAAUGCUCAUUCCAUAUAGGCUGUGUUUACGCAGUCAGACCCUGCUGCAAACAGGACUUGGGAUUCUAAAUAUAGAUGCUGAUUUCGGCAAGAGAUGGACUAAGGAAAUCAAGAUAGAACACUUAUAUAAGUAAUCCCAUUAGACAUAGAAGGGGUUUUAAAAGACAGAAAUAAUAGAAAAACAGAAAGACAGAAAAGAGGCUCAGCUGUUGGAGACUGUCAGUGCCAAUGCCUGAGCUUCCUCCUGCUUCUGUCUGUAAGACAGCCAAAUAAAUGUGUAUUAUAAAUGCAAUACUAUGUGAGCUCAAAGAAUGUACUGCAAUGUAUUUGGUAUGCACACACCAUGUAAACAAACUAAUUUACAGAACGUAUUUUUCAUACAUUGCGUAGAUACUCAAUUUAUAUGUGUAUAAUAAUGUGAUGUAUUUUCCAUGCACUUUUUUAUGUGGACAGUUAAUAUCUGGAUGCAUUUUCCAUGCGUGAUUUUAUACGCCCUAUGGAAUAUAUACAUUUAUGUAGCUAAACAGAUGAGGACUGUAUAUUUCCUGUGUAGGAUAUACAUGCAAGUGUACUGUUUAUGUAAAUUACGUGUGGUGUCUAUCCAUGCUGUGUGUAACCUUUUCUCAGAAUGUUGCUUUCCCGUACAAAUGAGAGUGCCUUUGUAUGUAUGUUUUAUAGAGAAAUAUAUUUUCCAUGCCCAGUAUGUACAUGUAAUAGAGCUAUCUGUGCAUUUUAGACUGUUUCAAUAUAUCUGUUAUGUUGGCAUUCCCGCCAA